CCUACGGGAGGCAGCAGUCGAGAAUCAUUCACAAUGGGGGAAACCCUGAUGGUGCGACGCCGCGUGGGGGAAUGAAGGUCUUCGGAUUGUAAACCCCUGUCAUGUGGGAGCAAAUUAAAAAGAUAGUACCACAAGAGGAAGAGACGGCUAACUCUGUGCCAGCAGCCGCGGUAAUACAGAGGUCUCAAGCGUUGUUCGGAAUCACUGGGCGUAAAGGGUGCGUAGGCUGUUUCGUAAGUCGUGUGUGAAAGGCGCGGGCUCAACCCGCGGACGGCACAUGAUACUGCGAGACUAGAGUAAUGGAGGGGGAACCGGAAUUCUCGGUGUAGCAGUGAAAUGCGUAGAGAUCGAGAGGAACACUCGUGGCGAAGGCGGGUUCCUGGACAUUAACUGACGCUGAGGCACGAAGGCCAGGGGAGCGAAAGGGAUUAGAUACCCUAGUAGUC
rnacentral:rRNA from 1 species